GACGAACGCUGGCGGCGUGCUUAACACAUGCAAGUCGAGCGGUAAGGCCCUUUCGGGGGGUACACGAGCGGCGAACGGGUGAGUAACACGUGGGUGACCUGCCCUCAGCUCUGGGAUAAGCCUGGGAAACCGGGUCUAAUACUGGAUAUGACUCCAUGACGCAUGUUGUGGGGGUGGAAAGCCUUGUGCGGCUGAGGAUGGGCCCGCGGCCUAUCAGCUUGUUGGUGGGGUGAUGGCCUACCAAGGCGACGACGGGUAGCCGGCCUGAGAGGGCGACCGGCCACACUGGGACUGAGACACGGCCCAGACUCCUACGGGAGGGCAGCAGUGGGGAAUCUUGCGCAAUGGGCGAAAGCCUGACGCAGCGACGCCGCGUGAGGGAUGACGGCCUCGGUUGUAAC
rnacentral:rRNA from 1 species